rnacentral:rRNA from 1 species
GAGGAAUAUUGGUCAAUGGGCGCAAGCCUGAACCAGCCAUCCCGCGUGCAGGAAGACGGCCCUAUGGGUUGUAAACUGCUUUUCCAGGGGGAGAAUUUUUCUGUCGUGACAGGAAUUGACGGUACCCUGGGAAUAAGCAUCGGCUAACUCCGUGCCAGCAGCCGCGGUAAUACGGAGGAUGCGAGCGUUAUCCGGAUUUAUUGGGUUUAAAGGGUGCGUAGGCGGAUUGAUAAGUCUGUGGUGAAAACCUGCAGCUUAACUGUAGACUUGCCGUUGAUACUGUCAGUCUUGAGUGUGGUCAAGGUAGGCGGAAUGUGUAAUGUAGCGGUGAAAUGCUUAGAUAUUACACAGAACACCGAUUGCGAAGGCAGCUUGCUGGGCCAUUACUGACGCUGAGGUACGAAAGCGUGGGUAGCAAACAG